AUCCUGGCUCAGGAUGAACGCUGGCGGCGUGCUUAACACAUGCAAGUCGAACGAAGCACUUAAGAUUGAUUCUUCGGAUGACGUCUUUUGUGACUUAGUGGCGGACGGGUGAGUAACGCGUGGGUAACCUGCCUCACACAGGGGGAUAACAGUUAGAAUGACUGCUAAUACCGCAUAACCCGAUAGGAUCGCAUGAUCCAGACGGAAAAGAUUUAUCGGUGUGAGAUGGACCCGCGUCUGAUUAGCUAGUUGGUGAGGUAACGGCCUACCAAGGCGACGAUCAGUAGCCGACCUGAGAGGGUGACCGGCCACAUUGGGACUGAGACACGGCCCAAACUCCUACGGGAGGCAGCAGUGGGGAAUAUUGCACAAUGGGGGAAACCCUGAUGCAGCGACGCCGCGUGAGCGAAGAAGUAUUUCGGUAUGUAAAGCUCUAUCAGCAGGGAAGAAGAAAUGACGGUACCUGACUAAGAAGCACCGGCUAAAUACGUG
rnacentral:rRNA from 1 species